rnacentral:tRNA from 1 species
GUCACUUUGGCGGAGUGGUUAACGCGCUGCCCUGCUAACCACCAGUUAGCUGCCAGGCAGUUCCUUCGGGAGCGCAGGUUCGAAUCCUGCAGGUGACG